rnacentral:sRNA from 1 species
GAGGAUAUCUUACCUACUAUCAUAGCACCAUUAGUA